rnacentral:rRNA from 1 species
AACGCGUAUGCAACUUACCUCUAACAGGAGGAUAGCCUUUCGAAAGGAAGAAUAAUACUCCAUAAUAUUUAUUAGUGGCAUCAUUAAUUUGUUAAAACUACGGUGGUUAGAGAUAGGCAUGCGUCCUACCAGCUAGUUGGUGAGGUGGCAGCUCACCAAGGCGAUGAUAGGUAGGGGGUUUCCGAGGGUUAUCCCCCACACUGGUACUGAGACACUUUCCAGACUCCUACGGGAGGCAGCAGUGAGGAAUAUUGGUCAAUGGACGAAAGUCUGAACCAGCCAUGCCUUUUGCAGGAUUACUGCCCUACGGGUUGUAAACUCCUUUUAUAUAGGACGAAAAACUCGUUCGUGAACGAGGCUGAAGGUACUAUAAGAAUAAGGACCGGCUAACUCCGUGCCAGCAGCCGCGGUAAUACGGAGGGUCCAAGCGUUAUCCGGAUUUAUUGGGUUUCGCGGGUCCGCAGGCUCGAGAAUAAGUCAGUGGUGAAAUCCCGUC